rnacentral:ribozyme from 1 species
AGAAUGAGAGAAAGAGCGAGAGCAGAGAAAAUACUCUAAUUGAUGUCUGUGCUAAUCACUGGGUCUGUUUGUUUAUCUGUCUUUCAUCUCUUUUCCUCGUUUUUUUUUGGCUAACACAAACCUUCACAAACUGAAUCGGUGCCAUGUA